rnacentral:rRNA from 1 species
CCUACGGGGGGCAGCAGUGGGGAAUAUUGGACAAUGGGCGAAAGCCUGAUCCAGCCAUGCCGCGUGUGUGAAGAAGGCCUUCGGGUUGUAAAGCACUUUCAGUGGGGAAGAAAGCCUUGGGGCUAAUACCCUCGAGGAAGGACAUCACCCACAGAAGAAGCACCGGCUAACUCCGUGCCAGCAGCCGCGGUAAUACGGAGGGUGCGAGCGUUAAUCGGAAUUACUGGGCGUAAAGCGCGCGUAGGUGGUCUGAUAAGCCGGUUGUGAAAGCCCCGGGCUCAACCUGGGAACGGCAUCCGGAACUGUCAGGCUAGAGUGCAGGAGAGGAAGGUAGAAUUCCCGGUGUAGCGGUGAAAUGCGUAGAGAUCGGGAGGAAUACCAGUGGCGAAGGCGGCCUUCUGGACUGACACUGACGCUGAGGUGCGAAAGCGUGGGUAGCAAACAGGAUUAGAUACCCCUGUAGUC